AUGGACUAUUGUCCUGGGCUGAGCACUAUUCUUAGAGCACGAGUUAUCACAUGCCACCUCCUACCCUCCUCCACGUGCUGCAGAAAACCUGCUCCCCAUCCAUCCUCUCAUCCUUGGAAAUCUGGCUCCCUCUCCUCUCCUCUGCUUCAUUGCAGGUCCAGCUUGGAUCCCUUUGAGAGUCACACCGAGAUGCUCUGGCAGGUUCUGGAGAGAUUGUUCAUCAAAGACACAGCAGAUAAUGAAACUCCCAGAAAAAUGACAGGCAGAAGUCGCAGAAAAUGGAGAAAAUUUCUCAGUAGGGGAAUGUCGGCUGCUUUGUGUGGCCUGAGCUCUUCUUCGUAAUUCAAAGAUCAUUCUCCUUGAUGAAGAAGCCACCACCUCUAUGGACUCCAAGACUGACACCCUGGUUCAGAACACCAUCAAAGAUGCCUUCAAAGCCUGCAGGGUGCUGACCAUCACCCACUGCCUCAACUCGGUUCUCAACUGCGAUCACAUCCUGGAAAAUGGGAAGGUACAGGAAGGCCUUUUGGCUUCACCUCCCCAGAAAGUUCAGUGGUUUGAGCUUUACAGUGGGUAUUUUCCGACGAUUUCAGUUCUUCUUCUCUUACUAUUAGGUGAUUGAGUUUGACAAGCCUAAAAUCCUUACAGAGAAGCCAGAUUUUGCAUUUGCAACGUUACUAGCAGCAGAGGAUAUGGCAGGGGUCCUGGCGGCAGAUUCUAGAGGAGGAAGAGGCUCUGUGAGAUGAAUAGGAGGGGUCUUCAGGAGGAGGGGCUGUUCCCUCUGAAGCCCUGGUCUCCAGCCCCUCCCACCCAUGGAGUGAGGUGGGGCCAAAGUUGUCCCCACUGCCCUACUCAGCCCGUGCCACCUCACCUGACUUGGUGGGCUCGGGGUUGGUUCUGGGUGGUGAACCGAGGCAGGCAAAGCUAAUGUAUUAACAAACUGCCCUUAACCUCCCUGAACCCCAAAGGUCCCUCAUAUGUUUUCACCAAAACCACCCGAGUGCCUGAGAAUGAAAAUACUGUAACUUUCAAUUAGAAGCCAGUCACAAUAAACAGAAUGGGAAAAUGCCUUAAGAUGGAGUUUGUAAGGUUUUUUUUGCCUAUUAUCAGAAGGAAAAAGAACAGAAUUUUCUUCCCGUUUAACCCCACUCACUUCCACCUUGACUGGGUGACAAGCAGUUAACUACACGGAUCUGUAGUGUGAAAGACUGAUUACAAUGUUUGGCCAAAAAAAAAAAAUUUAAUCAUAUUAUAUGUUUCAAUUGAUCUAUUAGAAUAACCAGGAAAACAAAAUGCUGGAGUUUCUCUAUAAAUGACAUUUUUAUAUCUUCUUUAUUGGUCAUUGAAACGCAGUAGGAAAUUACCCUGAAGUGUCGCCUUGCAAUGAUUUCACUGAAGAUAUUCUGAUUUCGGUACUAUUUCCUCUCCUAGGCCCUCGUUGCCUUCUCCCUUGACUCAGUAAUGAACCCUCACAGUUGCUUACCAAAUAAAAGGCUUUUC
rnacentral:lncRNA from 1 species